UGGGGAAUUUUGGACAAUGGGCGAAAGCCUGAUCCAGCAAUGCCGCGUGUGUGAAGAAGGCCUUCGGGUUGUAAAGCACUUUUGUCCGGAAAGAAAUCCUUGGCUCUAAUACAGUCGGGGGAUGACGGUACCGGAAGAAUAAGCACCGGCUAACUACGUGCCAGCAGCCGCGGUAAUACGUAGGGUGCAAGCGUUAAUCGGAAUUACUGGGCGUAAAGCGUGCGCAGGCGGUUUGCUAAGACCGAUGUGAAAUCCCCGGGCUCAACCUGGGAACUGCAUUGGUGACUGGCAGGCUAGAGUAUGGCAGAGGGGGGUAGAAUUCCACGUGUAGCAGUGAAAUGCGUAGAGAUGUGGAGGAAUACCGAUGGCGAAGGCAGCCCCCUGGGCAAUACUGACGCUCAUGCACGAAAGCGUGGGGAGCAAAACAGGAUUAGAUACCCUGGUAGUCCACGCCCUAAAACGAUGUCAACUAGUUGUUGGGGAUUCAUUUCCUUAGUAACGUAGCUAACGCGUGAAGUUGACCGCCUGGGGAGUACGGUCGCAAGAUUAAAACUCAAAGGAAUUGACGGGGUCAU
rnacentral:rRNA from 1 species